ACCAUUGUGACAUCAAAGCAAGACGCACUACUCGUGUUUGUGGUGAUGCUGGUGUAGACAAACCUACUGCUCUGCCACUUGUACAGAACUAUAGCACAUACAAUGAUGUUCACUGCAUAAUACUUGGCUCACAGGCAGAAAGGACUUGCUUUGUUUCAGAUGAGACUCUGGACUGUGGACUUUUGAGUUAAUGCUGAAAUGAUUUAAAACUCGGGGGACUGUUGAGAAGAGUACUAUUAACAACAGCGAAGACAUGGAAUCAAUCUAAAUGCCCAUCAAUGAUACAUUGGAUAAAGAAAUUGUGGUACAUAUACAUCAUGAAAUACCAUGCAAGAAUAAGAAAGAACAAGAUCAACUCCUUUGCAGGAACAUGGAUGGAGUUGAAGGCCAUUAUCCACAACAAACUAACGCAGGAAAAGAAAACCAAAUUCCACAUGUUCUCACUUGCAAACGGUCACUAAAUGUUGAGAAUGCAUGGACACAACAGACCACGAGGAACAAAAGACACUGUGGUCUACUUGAAGGUGGAGUGGGGAGGAGGAAGAGUAUCAAACAAAUCACUACUGAGUACUAGAUUGAGUAUCCGGAUGACUAAAUAAUUUAUACAACAAACCUCUGUGAAGUUUAUCUACAAGUUUACCUACAUAACAAGCCUGCAUAUGUACCUCUAAACCUAAAGCAAAAAAUAAAUAAAAAUUGGUCCACUCUUUUUUCCCCUUCUCUGAAAAUGACAUUUCCCUCCUUCUUAUUUCUUGGGCUGAAUACCAUAGAGUUAUCUCAGACCUUCUCUUUCACUCACACCUAUAUCCAAUCCAUCAACAACUCUUUUUAGCUUUGUCUUUAAAAUAUAUUCAAAGCCCAACAACUUUCCACAACUUACCUCUCCAAGUAGGGGAUCUGGUCUAAGACACUAUUAUUUCUGAUCUGGAAUAUGUAAAUAACUUCUUAACUGGUUUUUCUGUUUCGACUUUUGCUACUCUGGAGCCAAAUACUGCAACAGCACUGCAUAAAAGCCAACAAUAGCUCUCAUUUUAACUCUGAGUUAAAGCUAAAGAACUUAAUAGGGCCAACAAUGCCCGCUUGGUCUAGGUUUCCCUCCUCCUACUCUUAUUUCCCACAUGUCUUUCUCUGGUUUAUUCCUCUCCCGCCACCCUGGACACCUUGCUAUCUUGGUCAUGUUAUAGACUAAGUGUGUGUGUUCUCAAUAACAUUUGUGAAACAAAUAAACAAAUAAAUUAAAUC